AAUAGAUACCCGGGUAGUCCACGCCGUAAACGAUGAGUGCUAAGUGUUAGAGGGUUUCCGCCCUUUAGUGCUGCAGCUAACGCAUUAAGCACUCCGCCUGGGGAGUACGGCCGCAAGGCUGAAACUCAAAGGAAUUGACGGGGGCCCGCACAAGCGGUGGAGCAUGUGGUUUAAUUCGAAGCAACGCGAAGAACCUUACCAGGUCUUGACAUCCUCUGACCUCCCUGGAGACAGGGCCUUCCCCUUCGGGGGACAGAGUGACAGGUGGUGCAUGGUUGUCGUCAGCUCGUGUCGUGAGAUGUUGGGUUAAGUCCCGCAACGAGCGCAACCCUUGACCUUAGUUGCCAGCAUUGAGUUGGGCACUCUAAGGUGACUGCCGGUGACAAACCGGAGGAAGGUGGGGAUGACGUCAAAUCAUCAUGCCCCUUAUGACCUGGGCUACACACGUGCUACAAUGGAUGGUACAAAGGGCUGCGAGACCGCGAGGUUAAGCCAAUCCCAGAAAACCAUUCCCAGUUCGGAUUGCAGGCUGCAACCCCG
rnacentral:rRNA from 1 species